rnacentral:rRNA from 1 species
GAUUUCUGGUUUGAUAUGCCUGGCCCGCCAUGUUACAUGUGUGAGUGCCGGUGCGUGUCUGCCAUCCUUCUGGAAAACGUGUCUACCCUUCACUGGGCCGGAUGCGCGAUCCAGAUCAUUUACUUUGAAAAAAUUAGAGUGUUUAAAGCAGGCUUGCGCUAUGAAUAUAUUAGCAUGGAAUAAUAACUUAGGACUUUGGCUUAGAGUUUUAUUUGGUAUUUUGUGGGCUAAAGUAAUGAUUGAUAGGGACAGUUGGGGGUGCUAGUAUUCAGCGGCCAGAGGUGAAAUUCUUGGAUUCGCUGAAGACUAACUUAUGCGAAAGCAUU